CAGUCGCCACGGGAAUACGUAGGUGGCAAGCGUUGUCCGGAAUUAUUGGGCGUAAGGGGCUCGCAGGCGGUUUCUUAAGUCUGAUGUGAAAGCCCCCGGCUCAACCGAGGAGGGUCAUUGGAAACUGGGAAACUUGAGUGCAGAAGAGGAGAGUGGAAUUCCACGUGUAGCGGUGAAAUGCGUAGAGAUGUGGAGGAACACCAGUGGCGAAGGCGACUCUCUGGUCUGUAACUGACGCUGAGGAGCGAAAGCGCGGGGAGCGAACAGGAUUAGAUACCCCCGUAGUCCCUGUCUCUUAUAC
rnacentral:rRNA from 1 species